rnacentral:rRNA from 1 species
UACGUAGGGAGCAAGCGUUGUCCGGAAUCAUUGGGCGUAAAGCGCGCGUAGGUGGCUCUAUAAGUCCGUUGUGAAAGUCAAAGGCUCAACCUUUGAAAGCCGAUGGAUACUGUAGAGCUAGAGUCCGGAAGAGGCGAGUGGAAUUCCUGGUGUAGCGGUGGAAUGCGCAGAUAUCAGGAGGAACACCAAUAGCGAAGGCAGCUCGCUGGGACGUUACUGAGCUAAGGCGCGAAAGCGUGGGGAGCGAACAGG